GGGAGAGCUAGGCUGGCGCGCUAGUCCUGCGUUGUUACCGUGAACGGACUUUACACGGAGCCGAAGCCCAAGGAAGGGUCAAUCUUGUUUUGUUGGUCCUCAUUGUCUUUGCUGACGGCUUGUCCUUUGGGAUGGGCUUGUUGGGAAUCAGGUCAGAUUCGGAAGAAAGCAGCCUUAACCUUCAAGUAUCAUGUUCAGAGGGUCGCAAGUUUGAGAAGCUUUGAGGGUCAAACCAACGAGGCUUGAUAGGUUCGACUGCGGGUGUGCCCC
rnacentral:SRP_RNA from 1 species